AGGAAAAUGUGCUAGCUUUUAACCAAAUCUAUUUACUUUUAUUGAUUACCUCCUUGCAGCUCCUGAAUAUAUUUCAGCAUUUCUAUUGCUCCUCGGCUCUGGACUGACCAGCCCGAGGAGCUCAAGCUUCCUUUAAUCUGCUUCUUAGGGCAAAUGCUGUUUUAUAUGUUGUACAUCUCAGAUGCUUUCUUAUGUCUGCAUUGUUUAUUUUAUUCCAGUAUCUCUGCUUAGCUGUUUGUUUUGUGCAACAAGAGAAAUCUGAAAGCAUCUUAAGUAAAAAAGAUACCACUCUAGUUGAUUUCCAAUCAAGCAGAGUUAAAUUAUUCAUGUGUAAAUAGACAGAUGCGAUUUUGUAUUUCAGAUAUUUCCAUUGCACUUUAAGCUACAGUUCUGUUACAUUUAUACACUACUGUUUAAAAGUUUGGGGUCACCCAGACAAUUUUAUGUUUUCCAUGAAAACUCACACUUUCAUUCAGGUGCUAACAGAAUUGCACAAGGUUUUCUAAUCAUCAGUUGCACUUUUUAGCCAACAGAAUGUAGCAUUAGAACACAGGAGUGAUCGUUUCUGGAAAUGUUCCUCUGUACCCCUAUGUGUUCCAUUAAAAAUCAGCAGUUUCCAGCUGGAAUAGUCAUUUACCACAUUAAAAAUGUCUAGACUGUAUUUCGGAUUCAUUUAAUGUUAUCUUCACUGACAAAAAAAAAUGCUUUCUUUCAAAAAUAAGGACAUUUCUAAGUGACCCCAAACUUUUGAACAGUAGUAUACGUCCCACUGAUUUAUAUUUUUAAUGCAAAGCACCCUUUAAAUGUCACACAAGUUUCACCAAAUGUAAUGUCUUCAUACUGUUAUUGUCUCUGUUAAAACAUUGCUUUAGAUUAACUGAAAACCUUAAAAGUAGAUUAGUUUAAAAAGGCCUUAAAGCCUUUGAUAAAUCAAUUUGUUUUCAUGUGUGUUCAUGUGUGUGUGUUGUGCGUUAGUGUGCCUGACAAUGCAUCACUGACCCUUUGAUUGGGGGAUAAGUCCCUGCCUGUGCGUCCAUCUUGAUUUGAUGGCCGGAGAGAGGGCUGAUUGACCCCCUGACCUUUCUGUUCGCUGUCCGGAGCUCCUGUCAGCGGGUUAAUGAGCGACGGCUGCUCGGGGCACACUGGGCCUUGGCUAAGUGACCAGACCGGAUGACCACCCUCUGCUCUGACACUCACGGCUGUCAGUUAAACACCCCUCCGCCACCUCCAAACAGCCCCUGCCCUUCCUCGGCCUCUCAGAGUGAAGCUGGGACUCAGGACUUAAGCUCAGUCGUUUGCAGCACCACAUUUAGCCAAGAGGACACACAAACAGAAACUCACAAGCCUCUUGUCUCUCGGUGCUGUAGAUCAGACGACCGUCCUGAGGUGAGCUGGCGGAGAUCCGAUGCCACUGGAGCACUUUGAUUACCAACCAGCGUUAACUGUUGGAUUUCUCACAGCUUGUGUACUUCUUUGGCUUCGCUCCCAAAGUUGUAACACACACACACACACACACACACACACACACACACACACACACACACACUCGGAGGCAACACCAACACACUACACCAGGAGAUUUGCUGUUGUCCUCUGAGAAGCUUAGCUAAGCCUGACUUUAGUGCUCAUAAGGGUGCAAAGAUCAGACGGAAGCUUUUUCCAGGCACCAAUAGAACAAAUCAGCAUUUAGAAUUCAGUUUUCCAACUUUUUGCUUUGGUUUGUGGCCCCUUAAAGGAAGGAAGAGUAACACAUUUAGGGAAAUACGCACUCUCUGGAAGAGGGUGAGAAGAGAAGACAGACACCUCUCAUGUAGGGACAGUAAACAUGAAGCUGUAUUUUAGUUUUGCCGAGUUUUAAAAUUAGAAACAGGGACACAGUUAGUGGGACUCUGCUCAAAACAUGAAGUUAAACCUUAAUUUUUAGUGUAAAAACAACAAAACAAAUCAGUUUCAUGGGUGGUUGUAUGAUAUGACGGACUGUUCCCUGUCAAAAUAAAGAGAAAAUUGUCCUUUCUACACUUCACAUGCAAGAUUAAGGUUUUAGUGCUGGUAGGUGGAUUUUUUUUGUCUUUGCAGAGAACUUUUUCCCCCCUGGUAAACUUUGCUAAAUGCAAGAGUAGGAGAAAUACAAAUGAAUUCAAAAAACUCUUAAACUAGAAACAUUCAUAUCCAUUAAUGAGUUUAACAAUAUCAUAAAGAAGACAGUGAAGGAAGAAUAUCUGUUUGAUUGUUUUACUGUUGAUAGUUUAUUUGUGCAUCAUGUAUCUGUUUUAUAUAAUUUUUAUUUUUUGUAUGGCUGCUACUUUGGCCAGGUCUCCCUUGAAAAAGAGAUUUCAUAGUUAGUUCAUUGCAAUAACUCAAAUAAAGAUGCUCCUACUAGACCACUGUCAAAUUAAAUACAGUCAUCUUGACUGAAGAGGCCUGAAGAGGUGAAUCUAUCCUGCGUUGACUAAGACAAAAACCUGAACUUGAAAAAAUGUUGUGUUCAUUUUGUAUCCAUUUAGUCUUAAAAAAUUAAUAAAUUUAGAAAUCAAAAAUACUUGCCCUUAUUAAGUCACUUCUUUCAACUGACACUGAAAAUCAAUUUUCUUUUUUAAAUUUAGUGCAGCAACAGCUUCAAUCAAUUCACAAAGGAAUCUGCAUUUUUUCCAAAAUUAUGGUCUUGAAAUAAGAGAAAAAUCUAGAUUUCUGCACUAAAUUCAAAGAAACUAACUUAAUAUUUUAAGCUCUACUUUAAAGCAACUUAUUUACAACAAAGAAUGUUGAAAUGCCCUCAUGUUACUGUUAGAUUUCUCUUGUUUUAAGAGCAAAAGACUUGAAGGAGCAAAAAUGGCUUGAUGAGAAGAUUGCUGCUCUGACCUCGUGACCCCUGAGAUCUUAAGGAGGCUGAAAACUGAAACUACAGUAUACAAUAAUAUCCAUCCCUUAUCUUUACACCACUUAAUCCUCAUUAGGGGGCUGGAGUCUAUCCCAGCUGACUUAGGGUGAAGACAGGGGACACCUGGACAGGUCACCAGUCUAUCACAGAGCUACAUAUAGAGACAAACAGUCACACUCACAUUCACACCUACGGAUAAUUUAGAAUCACCAAUUAACCUCAGCAUGUUUUUGGAUUGUAGGAGGAAGCUGGAGUAGCCAGAGAAAACCCACACAUGCACAGAGAGAACAUGCAAACUCCAUGCAGAAAGAUCCCAGGCCUAGAUCAGGACGUGAACCAGGGAUCUUCUAGCUUCUAGCUACAAGGGGCUGGUUAAUGUGGGUUUAUCCAGCCAUCCAGGCGAUUAAUGUGGGCUUAUCCAUCCAUCCAUCCAUCCAUCCAUCCUCCACCCAUCCACCGAUUCUUGCAUCCGUCCACACAUGCCAACAUGCAUAUGAGGACACCUCCACAGCAGUUCUUUCUCUUUGCCCAAGCACAGAGGCCUAAGUGAACACAGGAGAGCGAUACGUAAAGGAGAGCCGCACAGAAAAUGUUUUCUGGUUCUCCUCUCAGAGAGAAACUUUGAUUUCAUGGUGUUGAUUAUUUUUCUUCGCAGUCACUCAAGGAUGAAGCACAAGGACUCAGAGAUUGUCCCCCUUUCAGAUACACUACAAUGGGGCUCCUUGGUUUAAAAACAACAUGGAGUUUCCCCCUUCUCUCUCUCUUUUUCCUUUACUUCUCUUUUUUUAAACAAUCCAGCAUACUUAAAGAAAGACAGAAGGGGCCUGGAAGCAGUUUAUUGUACUUAUUGAGAUGUUGUGGUCAUAAAUAGCGGACACAAGCUUGCUAAAAACAAAUCUGGUUUGAUCUGAGUCAGUUCUUAUGCUGUUGGAGAGCAAAGAUUCCCCCCCUUUUUUUCCUGGCGACUGGUCCCAAUAUGACUACACUUGACAAAGUGAGAGAAAAGUUUGAAUUAGAUUUUGCUUCUUCGCAGUAAAUUUGUUGAUGCAACAAGAUUCUCUGUUUGAGAACAACAAAUUUUACAUGUAAAUCAGCACCAACUUUCAACCCGGGUGGGUUUUCUUCCCUGCACAGCAUCCCUCUUUAAUCCUGACGAAUAGUGAGCCUCAUUUGCCUAAAUAUAUGGAAAUAGGAAAACUUGGCUAAAGUUCAGAGGGGACAACUUUUAGACUUUUGGAAUCAUCCGCAGCCAUCUGAAAGCCCUGAAAUGCAGCAAUUAAUGCAAAACUUUAUUGACAUAUAAAUGUGAUUAAAAAAAAAAACAAUGGAUUUGGAUGUUAAGGAAGGGGGAGUGCUGGAUGAAUCAUUUGUUUUGUUAACUGCAGGUUUGGUUAAGUCAGGAGCAGGAGGCCCAGGAAUCAGGCUCAUGUUGGCUCUGCAACCUGCUGUGUCACCCAUCAAACCUGCAGUUCAACUAGUGGGUCAAAAAUGAUCGAAUGAGGUCGUUUUCUUGCAAUAUCUUUUUAAUAGAAAGUUUUUAUCAUUUCAUAUUCCAGCUAUUCCUCAAAAAACAAGUUUUUGGUCUCAUUGCAUUAUUUUUUUAAGUUACCUUUGAUACUUUUAAAGAGGAUGUAACAUUUGUAUUACUACCUCAAGCUCUUUAUCACUAAUAGUAUCAUACAAGAGGUGAUGCACAAACAAAAAAUGUCAACAAAAUGGGUGUUGACAUUCUUCUAUUGAUGCUCUAUGUAUUAUUCUUCUUUUUCAAUCAUCAAAAUGUUCCAAAUCUGUUAUAAUGUGAAAAGUAAACAUAUUUCAAACAUGAAAUCAUUCUUGUGUGGACAAAAAUAUAAUGCAAACAAUAACAUAAGUGAUUAUUCUAAACCAAAAUAACAAAAAUGGCAUAAAAACCACACUGAUUCUUAUUUUUGACCCACUUAUGGAAAGGUGUAGGGUUCAAUCACUCGUGCAUCUGAAGGUUAAACAUUUUGUCGAAGUUAUCCAUAGUGUUUUUAACACAGCUGGUAUUAUGGCACAAAACUGAGACAUUUUCAUUUUGUUUUUUGAACUCUGGCGGUUCUGGCGUCUUUUUAUGUCCAAAGGAUUUAUUUUACUACAACUUUGCCCCAGUCAAGCUUUAAUUUUUUUUUUUUUUAACUUGGGAGUCACCUAAUUAUAUAAACGUUAUUGUUUAACUGGUAGUUUCUGUUGUUUUGAUAGAUUUCUGCUCACAAGUAAGGUUAGAGAAAAAACUUUUUUUUGAACACAUGCUUUCAAGAAGUUGCACGUUCAGAUGUUUUGUCUCUAUAUGUUUGUUUCCAGUCCUGCUACGUUUAAGAACUUCGGCUUAUUUAGGUAAUUUUGGUUUGCGGAUUUACGCACCCAAUGUGUCACUUCAAAAUGAUGACAAAAUCAGCUGAAUUUUAGUCAGAAAUACUGUAUUUAUUCACAACAUGUACAAGAUCUAUUUCCAUCAUUCACAACCGUAUAAAUAAAAAAACAACAGCAAAACAAGCAAAGCUAUUUACAUGGCGUGUUGCGCACUGUGCAAACUAAACGUGUUUGCGUGCGUGUGACCGAUGAAGUUGAAAUAGUGGUGAUCGAGUCCCUGCACCGACGACAAGUAUCCUCCGUG